rnacentral:tRNA from 1 species
GCCCCCAUAGCUCAGUGGAUAGAGCAUUGGAUUCCUAAUCCAUGUGCGCAAGUUCAAUUCUUGCUGGGGGUA